CUUUACAUUACAGUGACCAAUCGGAGUUCUGGCAGAAACUUUGUAAACAACGGAGUUGCACGCUGUCUUUUAACAGCUAAAACAAAGCGAAUAGAGUAUCACAGGGAUCGUCCGGAAGUCGAAGGAGCGUUAAGAUCCCAACCACAACAUCUGGACAUGGAAGAAAGCAGAUUUGAUACCUUUUACAAGAAAGCCUAGUAGACAGCUUGUUUGUUUGUUUCUUUCCAUACUUAUAAAGCACUAAGGUAAUAACAACUUGAACAAAUUGCAUAUAACCCACCUUUAACAGAAAGAAAUGAGCAAAUGAUUAAUACUUUUAAAAAUGAUAAAGUUAAUAUUAAAGUAUUUUUGUUUUGUAGCACAAUGCCAGAUUGUGUAAGUAACUUUUGGGUCUAAGAAUUUCACGCAAACAGGACAUGGUACGAAUCUGUUUUUGUUUUCCUGGUGAUAAAUUCUGGAGUGUCAUGUAAUUGCUGUAGUAUGAGCAUUUAAUAUGUGUGUGAUAAAGGUAUAUACCGUCUUAAAUUAACGUUCUACAUAAAGUGUAUAUAACAAAGUUAUUUUUUUACUGUUUUAUUGUUGUUUGUGCCUUUGACCUUUCUCAGUUCCUGUUUUCAUUAUAUUUGUUUGUAUAUGCUGCUACUUAUGGUAUGUAAUCUCAAGAACUUGAGCCAGAUACCACGUCUGGGACCCCCCUGAAGAUAAACUUACCACAGAGAACAAUAGAAGUUGAGCCAGGAUUGGCCUUAUGUAAGAUGUUUGGUUGACCGCUUACCUUGGUUGAACACCCAACCUACCUUUUACAUUUGACUUAGAUCUUGACUAACAGAGCAUUAAUUACUGUAUGCAUAUGGCCUAUGAGACUGAUAAACAGGCAGAUCCUGUGACUUAAUAAAGACGUUAUAGAAAGCAAACUGCAUUUUCUCUCUGUGGAAUUUCACCCUGGAACGAUAUCUGAAAUAAAGAAUGUUGUGGCUUGAGCUGAAAAGCAUUUCCUAAAUAUGCUGGGAGCUGCUGGGCCUUUUUUAUUUAUUUACAUAAAAAAGUGUUCCCUUUAAACUGCAAGAAAACUGGACAGGUUUUAUGAAAAGAUGCUAUAGCAUAUGUAUUAUAUAAACACAGGAUUUGUGUGUACAGCCAAGAACAUGUAAUGAAAAUAUAUUAUUUAUAAGAAGCAUAUUAUUAUUUUUAGCAAUUCUGUACAUGAAAAAUCUCAGUUAUGUGGACUAAUGCAAGUCAACAGAUAUAAUUGGUAAAAUAAUUCUCUUAAUGCUUCUUUGAUACAUUAUGUUAGAGACAUCAGUAGGAAACCCAACAAAUGUUUGCACGUACCUGUUGACCAAAUUUCCUGCGCAAAUGAUGAAUGAGUAGCAGAGAGAGAGGUUAUUC
rnacentral:lncRNA from 1 species